AGCAGCCGCGGUAAUUCCAGCUCCAAUAGCGUAUAUUAAAGUUGUUGCAGUUAAAAAGCUCGUAGUUGAACUUCGGGGUUUACCCAUUGGUCAGGCUUAAUUGUCUGUACUGGUGAGAUAAAUCUCUACCUUCUGAGGAACUUUCAUGCCAUUUAUUUAGUGUGAUGGGAAAUCAGGACUGUUACUUUGAAAAAUUAGAGUGUUUAAAGCAGGCUAACGUCUGAAUACAUUAGCAUGGAAUAAUGAAAUAGGACGGAUUGAUUCUAUUUCGUUGGUUUCUAGGGUCACCGUAAUGAUUAAUAGGGAUAGUUGGGGCAUUAGUAUUCAAUUGUCAGAGGUGAAAUUCUUGGAUUUAUUGAAGACUAACUACUGCGAAAGCAUUUGCCAAGGAUGUUUUCAUUAAUACAAGACGAAAGUUAGGGGAUCGAAGACGAUCAGAUACCGUCGUAGUCUUAACCAUAAACUAUAGCCGACUAGGGAUCGGAUGAUGUAAUUUU
rnacentral:rRNA from 1 species